ensembl:lncRNA
GGGGGAGGGUUGGUGUCAGCAGUUCAAGACUGUCUUUCCUACCCUCUUCAGUGCCUUUUUCUGUAAUAUGAAGUUAGAACCAAGUACUGUUAUUACUUAACUGAUUUUUGGUUCUUAUGAAGGUGCUUUUUUGUGUGGAUGGUUGUUCAAUUUGGUGUUCUUGCAGGGAGGAUAAUCCUUGAAGGUUUCUAUUUAGCCAUCUUGCUCUGCCUCUUGCUCCUAUAACAUUUUUAGAAAAGAAAAUGGAUAUUUUAAUUAGAAGCAACUGAUUCUACUACUAAAUUAACAUUGCUUGGGUCCACAUUUUGCACACUAAAACAUUCACAGAAAGAGUUCUUAUAUUUGUAACUGUACUUAAUAGGUAGGAAGAUUUUAAAGUGUACAAUAUUAAACAUUGUUUAUAUGAAUAUUGGAGAUUCUUACUUCAAACAUUUUUGUAAUGUUUCCACUUAAAUAUCAAUUACCAGGCAGACUCUUACCAGUGAUAACAUUCUUGGGAAUUUGCAGGAUCCCUUUUUGACCAAAAAUGAACCACAAGGCACUUAUAAACCCCGUGAGCUUGGACAGGAAAUGGGAAUUUGAAUCAAUAACUCUGCUGGAGUCACACCAGCUAUUGGCAAGGUACAAAGGAGAUACGUGGAUGAGAGGCUUUUGGAAUUCUGCCACUCUUGUUUGAAUAUGAGGCACAUGGCCACAGCUCAUGCUUUCCUAGCAGCACAGCUGCUGGAGGCAUAUCAUCUCUAGCCACACACAGUACUUGAUCUCCUCCACUGCAAGGUAAGAGUGGGUCUAUUGAAAGACAAGUGUUUGACCAGAGGUUGCAACUUUUGCUUCAGGGCUGCAUGUUUUAUGGAUUUUAGCACAGAACAUAUCUUUCUUUUUUCUAUUUUUGAGGCAGGGUUUCACUCUGUCACACAGGCUUGGAGUGCAGAGACAUAAUCAUAGCUCACUGCAGCCUCGAUCUCCUGGGCUCAAAUAAUCCUUCCACCUCAGCUUCCCAAGUAGCUGGGACCACAGGCCCACAGGCCCACACACCACCAUACCUGGCUAACUUUUGUAUUAUUAUUAUUAUUAUUAUUAUUAUUAUUAUUAUUUUGUAGAGAUAGGGUUUUACUGUACUGCCCAGGCUGAUCUAGAACUCCUAGGCUUAAGAGAUCCACCCACCAACUCAGCCUCCCUAACUGCUGGGAUUACAGGCGUGAGCCACUGCAUCCAGCCCAACAUACCCUUUUCAUCUUGGUCUUUCUGCACAAUGCAGUUAAAAACCACAUUGCAGUUUUUAUAGCCAUAGUAAUCUUGAAGGACUGUUGAAAAUAUGUGAGAAAUGUCUUCAGACCUUGUAUAUAGUAGGAUGCUAUUAGUGUGAUUAAGAUCCUACAGAAUAUGAUUUAGUCCCAUGUAUAAUCUAAUCUACAUCCAACUCAGUUCAAGUGUUUAGCACAGAGAUGAAGAAUGGGGAAUUAUUAUGAAGAGGAGUUGAAUUUCAACUUCAAAAAAGUACAGCAGUUAGUGACACUGGGCAUAUACUAAGAAACAGUUCACGACAUAUAGGUAGGCCUUGGAGAUAUCAUGGGUUAAGUUCCAAACCACCGCAAUAAAGCAAAUAUCACAAUAAAGAGAGCCACGUGAAUUUUUUUGUUUUCCAGAGCAUACAAAAGUUAUGUUUACACUUAUACUAUAGGUUAUGAAGUGUGCAAUAGUAUUAUGCCAAAAGAGUAAGUUAUUAAUUAAAAAUAUUUUAUUGCUAAAAAUUGAUAUCAUCUGAAACUUCAUUG